UAUGAGUAUAUAUCGAGCAGCCAGAUAAACACUAAAUCGUAAUCAAUCAUGGCAUGCAAAAAUAUUACCAGGAAAAAAGAAGGAAGAAACACACUUCAAUAACUCUAAAGUAUGUGUUACAAGCGAAGAAAUAAACUAGUUUGGUUCGACAUCUGUUUCGAAUUUAAUAUGCUACUCAAAUCAACUAGAGAUGUUGAUACGACAACCUUGUUACAAACCCACUAUAUUAUUGGUAGGGUUCACCGAUUUGUUGUCUCAAGGAAGCUGCCGGCUAUUGUGGCCAAUGAUUUUGAGGAAUAUGCGGUUACCCUCCAACUGCAGACUUGGUUGUGGCCGGCUUACGAUCCUGAUCAGGGUUAGGAUCUUGCUCCUCAGGCUUGAU
rnacentral:lncRNA from 1 species